rnacentral:lncRNA from 1 species
AAAAAGGAAUGAAAUAAAAGAAAGAAAGAAACAGAAUAAGGAAUGAAACAGAGAAGGAAGGAAGAAAAGAAAGGAAAGAAAAGAAAAAGGGAAAAUUGAGGGUUUAAAGCUUGAGGUUUAAAUAGGUAAGUCAAUUUAGCCCUUUUUAUUUAAUUUUGAUGUUUUAGAAGCCUUGGAACAAGGUUUUGAUGAAGUUGAGUUGAUAUUUUGAAAGAUAGUUAAUUAUUAGAUAUUGUUCAUGUUGAACAAAAAGAUGAAUUAAGGGCUAAAUUGAUAGAAAUUCAAGUUAGAAUUGAUAAAAGGAUUGAAUAGUAAAGAAAUUUAUAAGUUUUGAAUGGUAGGGACUAAAUUGAAAGAAUUUCAAAAUUAUGGUUCUAUGGUGAAAUUAAAGGGCUAAAAUUAGUUUAAACUGAAAAUUGAAUGAAAAUAUUGAGUUAAAUGUGAAGAAUAAAAGUUAGUUUCGGUUUAAAGACUAAAUUGGAAUUUAGGCAAAAGAUGAAUAAAAAUUGAAAUAUUCCAAAUGAAAAUUGAAUGGUAGUGUAUUGAUAAUUUUUAAUUAAUUUCUGUAGCUAGCGUUGUGCCGGAAAAUCUCGGCUAAGCGAGGAAAGACGACGUCAACGAAGGUUAGCUCAGAAAUUACGGUUGUAUUUUUAUAAUCCGAACUUAAUAUUUAAUUGUUGAAUUUAUUAUUUAAUGUGUAGGGUGAUGCAUUGAAAAGCGAAAUUUAAUUGUUAAUUAUUAAAUUUUGAUUGAAUGUUAAGGUAAGCAUUAUUGUGUUUUAUGACUAUUGAAAUGAAUCAAAAUGUAUAUUGUAUUGCAAUUGAAUUGCAUGUGGAUUGAUAUGAAAAAAUGUAUUAAAUUGAAUUGAAAUUAAAUUACGAUUGAAAUUGAAAAUUUGAAAGUUUACUGAAUACCCUAUUAACUGUAUCGGGCUAGUCGAAUAUAGUUGGCAUGCCAUAGGAUUGGAAGUGUUCAGGGAUAUUCCGACUUUGUGUCGAUGAGACACUAUACGUGCCGACUACUGUGACUGUUCCGGAUUCGUUCCGAAGAGGUACUCUGUACUUGACUGUUACUGUACUGUUUCAGAUUUGUUCUGAUGAGGAAGUCUGUGUACCGCUACUGUUACUGUUACUGUUACUGUUACCGUUACGGUGUAUUCCGACUCCGGCCGAUGAAACACUGUAUACUAUCCCCGGUGUGUGGGUUAGAUCUGUGUAUCCGUCCAGGUCUGAGUCAUGUUAAUAGGGGCAAAUAACGGCACUGAAAAAUUGUCUGCUACUGAAUAUUUGACUGUUACUGAAUAAAUGAUUGACUGAUACUGAAUAAUAAUGAUUAAAUGAUUGUUAUUGAAAAAUACUGACUAUUAUCGAAUUAUUGAUUGCUACUGAGUAAAGGAUUGCUACUGAACGAAUAAUCAUUACUGGAUAACUAAUUGUUAUCGAAUGACUAAAUGUUACUGGAAGAAACUGAUAAAUUAUUCGAUACUGAAAUAUGUUUACUGAUAUUGAAUAGUGAGCAGAAACAUAAGACAUAUGAAUGAAGAAUAUUAUUGUUGAGAAUUAAAUGGAAAAGCUAAUCAAGUUAUUAGAUGAUGAAGGUUGAACGAGUUGUAAAGAAAUUAUCUAUGAAAUGAAUAAAUGAAUAUUUAUGAUUAUUAUAGGACAAUAAGUGUAUGUUAUGUUUAAAUGUUUGGAUUAUAGAAAUACCACUGAGUUCAUACUUAGCGUACGGUUUGUUUCUGUGCGUAGGUUAAGUUAAAGCUAGAAUGUUGAAUCAGCAUCCCAGGCCGAUCUCGAACUUAAUAAGGUAACACUUGUUAAUUGUUAAUAAUGGCAUGUAUCUAGGAUGUCUUAAGCGUGUUAUUUUGCAUUGUGAUUGUAAUAGUGUAAUAAGUAAAUUGAUAUUUGAUAAUGAUACAUGAUAAGUGUUUUAAGUCAAUUAUUGGAUUGUUUUAGUAUUGGUAUUUUGUAUUGGUUGUGGUUUGAAAUUUGCGGGGUUGGCUAGUAAAGUGUGAAAGGUUCAUUAUUGAGUCCACACGGCCUGGCACACGGGCAUGUGACCUGGCCGUGUGAGACAUAUGGCUUGCACACGGGCAUGUUGUUAGGCCGUGUGUCCCCUGCACCUAAAAUGCUACAAAACAAAUUGCCACACGGGCUAAGCAGACGGACGAGUGGUACUGUUCAUAAAGAAGAAAUUUUGAAAUUUUAAGAAAAAUUCGUAGUGAUUCUAAAUUAGCCCUGAAUUGAUUUUACUGUUCAUAUUGGACCGCGAGGGCCCAUUAAAGGGACGACAUCUUAAAAUUAUGAUGAGUGUAAACAUUUAUUUUUAAUUAAUGUCUGUAUUGUACUGAACCUUGUUCUGGCAACGGUAUAGGGUUAGGGGACGUUACAAUUAGUGGUAUCAAAGCUAACUGGGUUUAGCCGAUUCUAGGAUUAAGUCGAGUACAGAAAAGAGUCUAGAGGUACAUGCCAUAAUUAAAUCAAAAUUGAGUCAGGUUCGGAUGCUGAUAUAAUUGUUUGUUUCUGUUUUAUAGUUGAAAAUGUUAGAUGAACAUAUCGAUGGUAUUGAUUAUGAAAUGUAUAAUGGAGACGAAUAGUCUCGUGAAUUAGAUAAAAACUGAAUCGACAACAGUGGGUAUUAACUCAAUGGGUAAUUAAUUACUGAAUGAUGACUGAUGAAAUAAUAGAAAAAAGAAUGAUACAUAAUUAUUUAGAACUGUAACUGAUGCUCUUUAGUGAGUAGAAAGAAACUGUAUCUGCUACGACAUCUACCCCUCCAGUUUCUCAAUCGGUUCCCGAAGUGCUUCAAGGUACAGAGCUUGUCUGAACGGGCAUCUGUUGCUGAUACUCCGUAAAUAUAGUGUGGAAGAAUUGAGAAUUAUAGCUAAAAAUGAUCUUGAAAGAACUGGAAUCUGGUUAGAGAAUGUUAUAAGGAUUGUAAUUGAAUUGCUUUGUUCACCGAUUAAAUGUUAGAAAGGUAUGAUAUUUCUAUUAAAAGAUUCAGCUUGCCAGCGGUGAGAAAUAUUUCUUUAUGUUGUGAUUAAGAAAGGGUUAUUUGGAAAUUUUCUAAAACGAGUUUUGACAGAAAUAUAUGUAUACAUCAGUCAGAGAUUUCUUGAUCAGAGAUGUAAAGAAUUCUUGAAGCUUAAAUAGAGUCGUGUGAUAGAAUAAAUAUAUUAGAGAGAAUAUUCCGAUAGAAACUGUAAGGUACAAAUGGUUUGAAGACGGUUUAAAUGAGGACAUAAAGCCGAAGAAUGUAGAAUAAAGAGUGGGAUAUGAUUCUUUUGAUUAUUAUCUUAGUGAUUGUUCGAAGAAAAUUGAAAAAAAUAUUAUUCAGAUUUCAAGACCGAGUAACAUAGAUACCAGAGGUAGAUUACUCUGUAACUCCGGAAAUAUUAGUGAUAGUCAAAGCGUGACAAAGGACUUCACUAAAAAAUCUGGAGAAUGAACAUCAGCCAGGGCAUAUGUUAAUUGUAUAUAAGAAGAUUUAUCUCUACUAGAUUUAUUACAGGUAAUUUCUUCUUUAUUGAAAUUGAUAAUAUUAUUCUAAAUUGAUUUUGGUUUGACUUAUUCCUAUGAUUGCAUGAAUUCAGUAUUUGCUAAAGUUUUGCUUGUUGAGUUCACUGAAUUAUGGUGGAAGUAUCAAAUUUUCUGGUCAGUAUUUAUUGGCUAAUAAGAUCUACAAGAACUGUCUGAUAAUGAUACUAGGAUAUUAUUUUCUGUUUGAUUUGAUGUUAUUACUAUUUGAUGUGAUCUUGAUAAUGGAAUGGUUAAUUCUGCAUGAUAUUGUGGUAAAUUAUAAGCACAAGUAUAUUAUAUUGCGAAGUUAGGACGAUGAAAUGUUUUGUUUUGAAUCAGAGAAGAUUGAAUGAUUUACCUAUUGAGAUAUUGAUCAUGUCAAAACAGAAAUAUGCUGGAAAAGGGUUAUGGUAUUUACUUUGCUUAUGUAUUGGAUAUUAAAGUAUUCAAGUUACGGUUUAAUUCUGUGGCAAUAGUACGAGAGAAUUCUGAUGUGUUUAUAGAAAAGUUACCUUAAUUACUAUUGAUUGAAGAAGCUGAAUGUGUUAUAGAUCUUGUGCUUGAAAUGAUAUUGAAAGGUUCAUUAUUGAGUCCACACGGCCUGGCACACAGGCGUGUGACCAGACCAUGUGAGACACACAGCUUGCACAUGGGCAUGUUGUUAGACCGUGUGUCCCCUGCACCUAAAAUGCUAUAAAACAGAUUGCUAUACGGGCUGAGCAGAUGGGCGUAUGGUACUGUUCAUAAAGAAGAAAUUUUGAAAUUUUAAUAAAAAUUCGUAGUGAUUCUAAAUUAACCCCGAAUUGAUUUUACUGUUCAUAUUGGACCACGAGGGCCCAUUAAAGGGACGACAUCUUAAAAUUAUGAUGAGUGUGAACAUUUAUUUUUAAUUAAUGUCUGUAUUGUACUGUACUGACUGGUAAUGUCUCGUAAUCUUGUUUUGGAAACGGCAUAGGGUUAGGGGACGUUACAAAUAUAGUUCUUGAGCCAUAAGAUAUAAAACAGUUUAGCGGUAUAUGUUCUCAUUAUCUUCACAAACUGGGAAAAAAAAAGGAGACAUUUUGAUGAAUCAAAGUAAAAUUUAUACUUAUUGAUAUUAUGUAUUGUUUUGAAAUAUAAGAAAUAUGUAUUCAUAUAUAUUCUUCUUUACAGGGAAGAAGCUAGAGAAUUACAGUCACAAGCUUCAGAAAGCAGAGUUACUCCCCAUUCGGGUGAUAUCCCUGAUCUUAUUAAAAGGUUAGUUAAUUGACAAUAUUUUACAUGGUAUGUUUGAUAAAUAACUGGAAUGGCCAUUGACAAUAUGUUCACUACCAUAAGUUGUCUUCAUCUUGACUAUGAUUUCCCAUCUUUACACAUUUUUGACCUUUCACAUGCAGGAAGACAGCUGCUUCUUACAGGGAAUUAGAAGCCAGGAAGAGUGUGAAUAAUCCAGGUUGAACCUUAUAUAUAUAUAUAUAUUAAUUCACUUAAAUUAUCAUUUUGAUAUAAAUUCGCCAAUUAUUGAUAAGUUUGAAUAAUCCAGGUUGAACCUUAGGAAUAGCCUAGGAUACGAGCGACAUGUCACUAGGAAAUUAUGUGUUAUGAGCUCAAGUGAGUUGUGUUAUGUGAUAUAACCGGGUGCUGGUCAUGUACGUCCUACCGGUGGUUGGGUAGUCCAGCAUGUGUUGCGAAUACCUGUCAACUUUUGUGAGCAGCCCGAGUAGCCAUGUCUUGACCGUCAGCUUGUGUGAACAGGCCUGAGAUUAGCUCAAAAGGGAACUUUAUAUGAUGUGUGAAUUUAGGUAGUAUUAGUUACUUUUGUGACAUCUACAUGUGAAAAGGGUAGUCCGUGUAUCCGAUAGUAUUCCGAGUGUUCAACGAGAAAUCCUAUGUGUAAUAUGGAAUGUAAUAAAGUUGUGAACAUGUGUUUCCAUGUUGAGGAUUUGUACAGGUUUCAAUAUUUGUAUAUGUAUAACCCUUGAAAAAAGUGAUUUAUGGUGUCGAAACUUUGGUAAGUUGUGAAGGAGUAAGUUAUAUUUAUGGGUUCUAAGGUUGGAAGUAUCAUAUACCUUAGAUUAAUUGUAUGAUGAAUGUAUGCAUGUAUAAGUUGAUUUUUUUUUACGUACCAACUUACUAAGCUUAAUGCUUACUUUCUUUUUUUUCCUUUCUUAUAGUAUUGCCAAGCUAGCUCGGGAAUUCGAGGACGUCGGAGGCUCGAUUACACUAUCAGUCAAAUUAUUUUGGUAUAUUUAGUUUCAACAUUUUGAAUAUGGCAUGUAUAGGGACUUAGUCUUUUUGUAAUAUGUCGUAUUGAUGUAGUCAAUUGUGUUGAUACAUGAUAACAUUCAAGUCAAUUUGUAAUUAGCCAUGAGAUAUGGCUUCUCAUAAUUGUUGGGUUGUAACCCUAAUGUAUUAUGCAUGCAUGCAAAUGUGUUAUUGUUAUUAUGUUUGUGAAAGCUUAUGGAUGAGAAGUAU